rnacentral:lncRNA from 1 species
CCACCUUAUAAACCCAAGCAUCUCUACUUUACUAACCAAUGUGGGACACAACUCAACAAUCCCCCCCUCGGACGAAACCACCGCCGGACUCCGGUCCUUUCGUCCGACACACCUGAGUUGUUCCACCACCACAUUCUCGAUCAACUUGUGCCUUGUGCAGAUAAUUUUGGACAGCAAUAUUAGAAGUACUCAUAAUUGAUUAAUCAUAAUCAUUUAAGUAAUUUAACAGCUGCAAAUUAAUUCAUGUUAAUCUUGCCUGAGAUGAUUAUCGACACUCGCAAAUAGCCGUAAUUAAUUUAGAUGGCAUACAAACACAUGUCCAUUACAAUUAUAAUGACAAUACUUGUGAAGGUGCAAGGACAAUUAAUUCUGCCGGCAAUUGAAGAGUAAUGUAAAAGAAUCAAUUGAUCAUUUAUAUAUAUAAUCGCAACGUUAGAUUUACUGUAAUCAUAAUCCAACUUAUCAAGUAAAUAUGAUCGAUACACGUAACAAACUCGUUAGCAUAUUAAUUACAUCUUACCUAUUCAUAAUAUAGAUUAUUACAAUUAUACAAACCACUUUUUAUUUAUAGAACGUGGGAGAGUUUACCCUUCGAAGAUCAAUUAUGAGUCGUUAGCGUACAUAGACACACGUAUUUUUUAAUCAUACCCUAAUCUAAUAUAUGUAUUAAUAAAUCUUCAAAUAUCCCCUCGGUGAUUUCAACAUCUUCCACUAUAAAUAUCACCUUUUGCAAAGUCAUAUGUUUUCUAUAGUUUGUAGUAAUGUACACAUUCAAUUUCGGAUGCCAACUUAUAAUUGGAUUGUCAUGUAUAUAAUCUAGUUUCUAUAUAAUCAUAGUUUUGAAAUUUGUAUAAUAAACGAUAAUACUACUGAAGUAACUAUAAGAAGCAAUACGUUGUAGACAAUUAAGCACCAGAAAAAAAUUAUAAAGCACUCUUUACUAAGAUAAUAAGCACUAGAAUAGAGCUUUAUAUAAAGCACUUUUUACUAACCUGUGCAAUGAAUAAUAUUGCAUCUUUAGAAGAUCACCUAUGACUUGAAGGGCUCCAUUAAUUCCUGCAAAGAAGGCAACAAUAUUACAAAAUUGGGUUUUGCUAAUUUUUCCAUAUUGCUUGUGACUUUAUAUAAUUCUUAUGUUGUAAUUUUAUAAAAUUUUCAUGCAGUAUGUUUGGAACUACCAAUAGUUUAUUUACAAAAUUGUCUUUUCAUUAUUUACAAGCUCAAUCACUCAAGUUGUUUUAGAAACUCGUCACUCUCAUUUUCCCCGACUUCUUCUUCCUCACUUCAUCUUGUUUUAGGAAUCUUUUUCCAUCUCAAAUAAACUUAUGAUGACAAGCUAUUUGUCACUCAUUUGCUUUUUAAUUUUUAAAAUUAGGGUCUAUGUGUGAUUCCCUAAUGACAUCAUACUCUAUAGUCCGAACAUCGUCAAAUAAUUAAAAAUAUACUAACAAUCAAUAAACUAGAGCCAUUUAAUGGUGCCGGUUUGUGGGGUAUAGUAUCCAUAGGGAACUGUAGUCAUGGCUUUGAAGCUGAUAAUUUUUAUUGUUAAUUGAACUUAAUUCACAAGAUAUUUUUCAAAUUCAAAAAGUGCUAAUUUUGAUGUUGAGGUUUGAUUUAAUGGCUUUUUUUUAAAGAUUUUUUAUUACCUUACAAAAAUUAGUCUAGCUUGCUCAGCCUCCAACUUAAAGGAGUUAGCUUUUGUUGGGGGACUUAGCAUAAGAUUUCUAGGUAUCCAACCCAAAAGGCUAACAUUUUAGGUGGAGUGACCUACCACCUUAUAAAUCCAAGUAUCUCUCAUUUACUAGUUAAUGUGAGACACAACUCAACAAUCCCCCCCUCGGACGAAACCACCGCCGGACUCCGGUCCUUUCGACCGACACACAUGAGUUGUUUCACCACCAUAUUCCGGCUACUAGGGUCUAGCUCUGAUACCACUUGUUGGGGGGACUUAGCAUAAGAUUUCUAGGUAUCCAACCCAAAAGGCUAACAUUUUAGGUGGAGUGACCUACCACCUUAUAAAUCCAAGUAUCUCUCAUUUACUAGUUAAUGUGAGACACAACUCAACAAUCCCCCCCUCGGACGAAACCACCGCCGGACUCCGGUCCUUUCGUCCGACACACCUGAGUUGUUCCACCACCACAUUCCGGCUAGUAAAGGGGAGAUGCUUGGGUUUAUAAGGUGGAGGCCCCUCCACCUAAAAGGCUAGUCUUUUGGGUUGGACACCUAGAAAUCUUAUACUAAGUCCCCCCAACAAGUGGUAUCAGAGCUAGACCCUAGUAGCCAGAAUGUGGUGGUGGAACAACUCAGGUGUGUCGGACGAAAGGACCGGAGUCCGGUGGUGGUUUCGUCUGAGGGGGGGAUUGUUGAGUUGUGUCCCACAUUGAUUAGUAAAGGGGAGAUGCUUGGGUUUAUAAGGUGGUAGGUCACUCCACCUAAGAGGCUAGUCUUUUGGGUUGGAUACCUAGAAAUCUUAUGCUAAGUUCUCCCAACAAGAUCAGAUCGAGAGGAUCCUAUUCCGACUAUAAUAGUCCAUCUCUAUAUCUAAAUAAGAAAAUGGCCUAAAACUUUUUUCAUGAGAGGAGCUCGUAACAAUAUGCUUCUACUUAUCACUACUACAUGUACAUCAGUGAAUUUAAGAAGAUAUAUAUUGCCAGCUCAUAUGGACUGCAGAAUCUAUUCAGCUCUGUAGUUCUUAAUGCUUACAAGCUUCAAAAGUGAGACCAAACUACCAAACGAAGCCAAUGUACUGAGAAUAGACGAAACUGAAAGGCAAUCCACAAAUGCCAUUCUCACCCGUACGUAGUGGUGGAUGCAUGUAUGGGUUCAUAUGGAGGAAACACGUGACAGUCAAUUGCAUGCAGCCACGUGUCCGGAAUUUACGACGGUCAAAGAAGAAGACAUAUCAUGCAUUAUGAUAUGUUACUGUACGAAAGAAAGCAGACUGCAGACACUAACACUCGAGGACAACGUUGGCAUAAAUUAAAACAGAAUUGACAAUGCAAGUCCAGGGAAACACAACUGGCCAUGUUAACUCUUAAAGUUUCCCCAGUCACUGAUCACAUGCAGGGCCGAGGCCGACCACACACAUUUGCUUACCUGAUACUGUUGUACAUAUGUACAUACACUGAUAGGCACACUACAUAUUUUAACUCUCGACGCUAGAGUUGAGAGUAAAUGCCUACUUUAAUCAAAACCGCUGGAUUUUAAAUCCUAGGAGUUCAAAACACCCAUCUGACGACUGGUAUAUUUAAGAAGUGAAAAAAUAAAAUAAAGGAAAGAAAGUAAAAUGGAUUUUGAUUUUGUGAAUAGAUUAAUAAUAUAAGUAUUUUAUAAUAAGUAAAAGCUCUGGCAAUUGCAUGUGCUUGCUCUGACGGAGCCUGCCUUUGCCUGGUUUUGCAGCCUUCGUGACCAUAUUCAUGUGGUUGGAGCUGGGUUGCUUGUCUUUAAGCCAGCCUCUCCGUUCUUUUAUUUCCACACUCCUUUUUCUUUAUCACUUGGAUUUGGAUGAACUGUGUAUAUAUUAUUAAAAUGUUUUUAUUCUAAACAACGAGUAGUCAAGAACGAUGGUUUGUCUUUGCUCUUCGACCCACAAUUGAUAAAUUAACUUCAUUUCACGGUGUAUUGUUGUAGUUGUACCUUAACGCCUGAUUCACCGCCAAUACCAGUUAUACAAAUACUAUGUUCCCGAUACUCGAAAUUUUAACGUAGUAAAUAAGAACACGCACGCACGCACGCAUUCGGAAAGCUUGAGGAUUUUACCACUUCACUCAUGGGCCCAGGAUCUUGAAUUAAAGAUGAAUUCUCUUUCUUUCUCUGGAAAUUAUUCAUUGUGGAAUUCCUCCUGUCAAAUUUAAAUUUCUCGCGAUUAUAAUUUUAUGCCCAAGCUGGUCAUGUCACUUUUUAUGGAAUUGGAGUAGUGA